UUCGAUAUUAUGUUGCAGUUGCAAUGUUACAUUUCAAUCAUAGUGUAACUGUAUUUAUUUACUUAAAAAACAUGUUUCUAAAUACUUUGCACCUUCCAAUUAACAACUGGUCAAAUAGCGCCCCCUUACGGUGCUGUGUAAGUGCGUAUCACUAACUCAGUGGGAGAGAGAAGAGAGGACAGGCCAGCUGUCCUAAACAGUAAAAUAUUCAACUCUUAACAGGAAGAAAGAAGAGCUAGCAUUGUUUAAUAAACUAACAAGCGCGUGUUUUCAGAUAGUGAAAUUAAUUAAGAAUUAAAACAGACGUCGUAUUACGGGAAGUUAAACAAAUGAAGAAACUCCAGUGGAAAUGUCUGGGUGUGGAUAAUAAACAUUCAGCUCACGGGGGAAAGGAAGACAGCCUGCAAACAGAAUGCCACAGACGUAAGACCAGCACGCCUUAAAUGCAUUGGACCUGAACCUGGGGCAGGCAAAACUGAGGAAAUCAGAGCUGACUGGGGCACUGACGGAGAAUGCUUUGAGGUUUCCCUUACAGUGUUAGAUACACUGCAUGAAAGGGAGAUGGACCUCACAACAUCUUUGUUUAUCUCAAUGCAUCAAAUUAAAGUAACAAAAAAAAAAAAGAUUUCCCACCUGGCCUGAAAAAAAAAUUCCAAGGUUUAGAUGCACUUUUUAAUAGGAAUGAUGUAAAAUGUAAAGUAUUUAAUUUUUUUGUGUGUGUAAUUGAUGAAAGCAGGGUUAUUGCUAGUUGUCUUCCUUGAUCAGUUUUUAUAGGGUCCAUUUUAAUAUCCCAUUGUGGAGAAGUGGUUGUGCUAGACCUUUGAAAUGUUUUAGGGUAAAUGUAUGGACUCUCAGGGGUGUAGCUCAAAUUAACACAGAAUGAUGGAUUGAAAGAUGUAGAGUCUCUGGCAGCAGAUUUGGAGGCCUGUAAAAACCACAGCUUCGUAGGUAUGGGACUGAUUUUUUUUUUUUUUUUUUUUAGCAUAUUCUCAUAUACAUAGCACAUUAUUUAUAACAGUCCAAAUCAGGUGACUGGUUUGACAGAUAUUACAGUUUGAAUGUGGUAGGAAAAACACACAUUUUCAUCUAACUUUAGAAUAAUAUUCCCAAAUUACAAAGCCAAGUUCCAAAUCAGAAUUUCUUUUUAUUUGUAGAAAGGGUGAAGUUAAUACUACGGCCAAUAUGCUGCUGCUGCUGCUGAUGGUGAUGGUGAUGGUGAGGAACUCUCUCCAAGACGGAACAUUUCCAUGUAACACUUUUUAAAGCAACUUAUAAGAUAUUUCCUGAAACACUUUUGAGAUGGUGAGAGUUAGAGCAGUUGAGUUCCACAUGCAAUCAGAAAAGUAAAGAUUCUUGGAAUUCAAAAAAAAAACCCAAACACCCCAAACAAAACACGCCAGUGGCGCAAUUGCUGGACAACACACUCAUAACUGGCUCUGUUUUAGUUUUUCGCUAACUGCUUUAACACAGCCAAGGUCUUUGGACUGCUGAGCACAACAUACCAGCACUAUUACUUUUUCCUGACUCAGAACAUGUAGUGGGCUUUAGCUUGUGGCAAAGAUAAUCAGCAUACAUUGUUUGUGCAUUGUUCUGCUUUUGAAAUGGUUCUAAUUUCUUUUAGCUUUUAAGAAUUAUUUCAAAGGUUGGCUGUGAUGAACAGUUGAGAUUCUUUCGGGACAGUCAUCAUAUUUGUGUGAGCAGAAUGGGUUUGAAGCUCUCCACAUUUCUGCUAUUCUUAAUUGACCGGAUCUAAUGACGUUAUUUAUGUUUUUUUUUCUGUGAAUAAGGACUAUUUUCUUGUAAUUGGAUCACAUUUGAAAUAUGUAAUUGGUUGAUGUCAGUGCUAGGCAUUCAUUCUUUGCAUAGUUCACAACUGCUAUUUGUGGUAUUUUAAGCUUUAAAGAGCUCGUUGACAUUUUGAACGAUUGAGAUGUACUGCCAAAAAAAUAAAAUAAAUAAAAAAUCCCAAAUUCCACAGCUUUCCCAACCUCAGUCCUUCAUGUUAAGAUUUGUCACAUUUGUCAGUUUGGGAUUUUCCCAGGAAUUUUCAAGAGAUGUCUAAACUUCAGAGGAAAAACAAAAAAAUGUAAGAACAGCACUGUGAAAACACAACGUGGAUUAUCUGCCAUCGUGAGCAGGGAUAAGGCGCACGGUUCUUAAAAGAAAACAAUCCAAAGAAUUUGCAUGUGCAGAAACUUCCAGCUCCAAGAUGUGUUCCUGAGCGACUGAACAGGAAAUCUUGACUUGGAGCGAACAUAAGCAUCUUUUUUCACAUUUCAUUUUUAACAUUUUAACAUUUUGUCUCCUUUUUCCUGUUCCUGUCUGCCACUGGGGCAAAACACCAGCAGGAGAGGGAUUGUGUUUGAUUGUGGUGGACCAAAACCCAGACUACUGACCAAUACGCACUUUGAAUCGGGCUUCGAAGGAUCAGAUUCAAAGUGAUGGAGUGGAGAAUGGAAGCAGGCAGAUCUCUGUGGGUUGGAAGACUUUGUGAGUUGGGAUAGAUUUUUGCCAGAGGACAGCCAAGUGGAUGGCAUCUGUGGUCAGCAAGGCAUUGCCUUUAUUUCCUUGGAUCAAAGUUAGCCAGGACUCGGUCUGUUUAAAGUAGGCUUUCUAAAACUCUAACUUGGCAGCUUUUAACUUGGAAUAAUAAAAAUACAUCUGAUUUGUAAUGCACCUUUCAUACAAAAAUGCAGCUUUGUUGCCAUGUUCCCAGUGAGCAGCCAUUUCUUAACCACAGUUUUUGUUAUGUGUACCCUUGUGGGUCACAUGUAAUUUUGAAUAGCUAAAGACAAGAUGGAACUUAAAAAUAUACAAACGGCUUCCUGCCGACUAAAGAAUUCAGGUCAGCUGUUUACAUGGGAUGUGAUUUUAUUCUAGUCUUGUGUUUAAAUGUCACAACACAUUCACUCAGAACAGUGUUAAAUGCUUUGCAUGACUCAUGGUUCAAAAUAAUCCUUGUUUUUCAGUCCUUCAGUUCAUUCUGUCUGAAAUAAGCUGUUUUAGCUCCUAUCCUUUAUGGCCCCUCUCCCUUUAAACCACCUUUGUGCUGAUUAAUUGCAAGAGGCAACCAAGGUGGGGAGUCGGGGGCAAUUUAGACUCUCUAAUUAACCUAACAAGCAAAGAGAAGAAGCCAAAGUGCCUGAAAAGAGUCCCCCCAUGCAUUGGGAGAACAUUGAAACUCCAUAAAGAAGGCAUCCUCAACUAAAAACCGUCUUGCUAUGAGGGAACAGCACCAACUACCACAUUAUAACACAUUAUUAAAACUUUGCCCAGGGUUCAUGUUAGCACCCUCAAAAGGAAAAGCACAACAUAUAAGAUUUUACGUUGAAAACAAACUCUUCACAGAGUAGUUGAGCUUGGAAGCCAGCAGUCUUGGAAAGCAAAGAAGCAUACGUCCCCACGCAUUUUAGGCCAAGAUGGGAUGCAUGAAUGCAGAGCAAGGGGCAAUGCAGCCAGCAGUGAAUCACAUUAAAGCUCUUGUGUGGUAGAAUUCUUCUUUUAAUCUGUUUUUGAAAACAUUUACUCUGUUGCAUUGAAAUUCCAGCUGUUUAUUCAGAUUUAGGUGUUUAUAUGGAGCAUUUUUUUAAUCUUGUGUUUGGUUUUUAAUGCGAUUAGAAUCAUUAUACCACGCGCCAUGUAAAUGUAGCUAUUCUUCUACCAGCCGCAGGCCUUUUAUUUACCCUGUAGUUAAAUAUUUUCAUUCUAAUUUUCAUGAGUUGAUUUGUAGCUUAGAUAGCCUGACUACACUAGACCGCAUACAUGUUCUUCCCAGCUGCCUUUGCUAACCACGUCUCAGUUGUGUAUUCUAUUUAUGCCACUCAUGACACCAGAGAACCAACCGGCUUUGCCCGGGCUUUAUGACAACACCUGGCUUGUAUUUAACAGGCCUAUAAAUAGACUUUCCUCCAAAUACAAACCACCUGGAUGGGGUCAAACCACUGUCACACGCAUCCAUUUCAGUUUUGCCAGAAAGAGUUAUCUGAGAUGUAACGAUGGUGGUGAACAGUGAUUUACAUAGAUGAUAUCCAUCAGAGCCUGUGGUCAGCCCUGUGGUCUGUGAAGACUAAGCACACACAUGGAGGCUUUUUGGUGUCUACUCCAUCAUUGCUAACCAAUAUAAGUUAAAGGGAAAAAACGUGAUUUACUCUGAGUGAAUUUUAAUCGUCUUGUAAUGGUUUUACUGCUUAGUCCCGCAUAACUGAUGGGUUUGGGAUGGGCCUCGCACAUGAAAUGUCUGUGUUUGGUUUUCAGUAAUUGCUUUUGCAUGACUUGGUCACAGGUGUCAGGCAGAGACUUUUGGUAAAUGUUUGGCAUGGUAGAGUAAGAAAAGUUUCAGGGCCUACCUGGAAUAGUCCGGGCUUUAAAUAGCGACGAGGCGUUACCCGUUUCCUCUGCCGGUUCACUCACAAACACACAUGAACUGAUGAAAGUUGACUGGAAAUUAUGAAGACUUGGAGAAAAUAAGAGCAAUUUUGCAGUAAUUGCCAUCAAGCUGUUAGGUCUUCCAGUGCAAAGGCUGCAUUGCGUGUUGGGAGUGUGAGUGUGGUGGGAGGUAGAUAUUUUUAGAAUCAAACUCCUCUGUUCCAGUGGCAUAGCACUCAAGCACAACAUACCUUCUGUGCUGUGCUUUCCUCCUUAAGACGAGCACUUUCCCUUCUAUGUUUUGUGUGCUGGGCUGGCGGCCAAGACGGUGGCUUCACAAAGGGUCACAGAGAAGGGGCUUUUAAUAUGACCGGCUUUUGCUGACUCAAAAAAAGCAGUCCGUGGAAGGAUUUAUGUAACUACAUAACAGCAACAGACUGAGCUUAGAUCUUCCCUUUAAGGAAGGCUUAUCUAAAAAGAAAAGCUUGCGAGGUUUGGAAAAAUGUGAUUGUGUAGUUAGACAACUGUCUAUCUUCAUACUAUCCUGUUGUCGUCACUGAUUACUUGGAGGCAAUCUGAAAGCAUCCUGUGGCUCAUUUGCUGCUCAUUUUGUUUUUUAUUUUUUAAAUAAAUGCCAGUAGAUAAGAGUUUUACCAGCCAGGGAGGAAAUUAUUGUAAUUACUUUAUAUACUACAGGAUAUUGCAUAAUUUAGUAGUAGCUUUCCUAAUAAAAUACAUGUAGUCACGUACACCCUGAAUAGAACAAGCAGUGGUGACUGCUGUCACCCAGCCACUCAGUUGACAACAGUCUAAGAAAUAUAGAGAUCUGAUCCAGUGAUUUCAAGCCCCUGAUUCAAAGACUAGGAUUAGAGACAUUUGCACACCAGCUAAAUUUAACUAUUGCAGUAGCAGACAUAUAGAGUAUUGAUAAACAGGUUCUUUUUCUAACUUCGGUCGGUGUUUCACUAUGGGAAUCGCCUCGGCGCAGGUUCAAAGGACAUCAUAGCAUUUUGAUCUUGAUUUUAUUAAUAGAACUUAUAUAUACAUAUACACGCCCGAUUGCCACUGUAGCUUCUUUUCAGGCCCACAGUUUGUGAAACUGCCUUGCAGUUUCUCAGGUCAUUGCACAGUCUGACCUCAGGUGAAAUUACUGGGCCAUCAGCUCCUGGGAAAAAUGUUACAUUAUGUUAACACAUGCCUGAAUGCACUAGAUCAGCAACUUAAAGUUCUGCUUUUAUAGAGAUGCGCAUGCUUGCUGAUGAUGAAUUAACCACAUGCAUUUUAUUAGCAGCACUUGGCUGCGACUUACUCUCUUAAUUACUAUGGAAACAGUAACCUGUACUUAGAGG